rnacentral:rRNA from 1 species
AUUGAACGCUGGCGGCAUGCCUUACACAUGCAAGUCGAACGGCAGCGUGAUCUAGCUUGCUAGAUUGAUGGCGAGUGGCGAACGGGUGAGUAAUACAUCGGAACGUGCCCUGUAGUGGGGGAUAACUAGUCGAAAGAUUAGCUAAUACCGCAUACGACCUGAGGGUGAAAGUGGGGGACCGCAAGGCCUCAUGCUAUAGGAGCGGCCGAUGUCUGAUUAGCUAGUUGGUGAGGUAAAGGCUCACCAAGGCGACGAUCAGUAGCUGGUCUGAGAGGACGAUCAGCCACACUGGGACUGAGACACGGCCCAGACUCCUACGGGAGGCAGCAGUGGGGAAUUUUGGACAAUGGGCGAAAGCCUGAUCCAGCAAUGCCGCGUGUGUGAAGAAGGCCUUCGGGUUGUAAAGCACUUUUGUCCGGAAAGAAAUGGCUCUGGUUAAUACCUGGGGUCGAUGACGGUACCGGAAGAAUAAGGACCGGCUAACUACGUG